UACGAAGGGUGCAAGCGUUACUCGGAAUUACUGGGCGUAAAGCGUGCGUAGGUGGUUUGUUAAGUCUGAUGUGAAAGCCCUGGGCUCAACCUGGGAAUUGCAUUGGAUACUGGCAGGCUAGAAUGCGGUAGAGGAUGGCGGAAUUCCCGGUGUAGCAGUGAAAUGCGUAGAGAUCGGGAGGAACAUCUGUGGCGAAGGCGGCCAUCUGGACCAGCACUGACACUGAGGCACGAAAGCGUGGGGAGCAAACAGG
rnacentral:rRNA from 1 species